CUGCUGUUUAGGUUGCUGACAGGAUUCGCCAGCAACAACAUGCGGUAGACGCGACUUCUUCCUACUUCCAGAUUUAACCACAUCAUGAACCUUCGACUUCCUCUUCCUCUUCCUAUUGGACCCAUCAUCCACUGAUUGAACAUGCUCCAACAAUUGUUCAACAGGACAUGGGCAUACAACAGCCGGAACGAUGCCACCUUCAUCUAUAAGUGGCCUCUCAACUUCAUCAUACAC
rnacentral:lncRNA from 1 species